GCAACUCCCAUCGGGCGAUUAAAAUAUUUCGUCGGCUAUUGAAAUACUGAAUCGACCUCUCUCGUCGACAUCGCGAUAAUUAACACGUGUAGAGUGUGUGACGUAUCAUGAUUUCUCGGACACCAAAUAUUCUCGUCAUUGAUGGAAGAGCGACAACGGUUCGCCGAUUGGCCGAAAGUGACUUUGCCCUUUUCCAAGUUGCCAAUUGUUUCGGCGCUCUCGCGCUUCUCGUGUAUUUACCCGUGACUGAGUCAUUAUGUCUCGAGCCGAACGAACGGCGCACACAGCGUGUAUCGGCGCGUUAUUUACACUUCCCGUCGAGAGGAGUGAGUGCAAUUUUUCGCGUCGGCCAUUGAAGGAUUUAAUCGGGCUCGCGUCGCGUUAGUUAAUGCACGUUUUCCCGUACUGAAUCGUAUCGUCAGCGACGAGCGUCAACAUCAGUGCCAGCGAGUGUCCGGAAUCACGAAGCAACCAGGACAGAAUGCUGGAUUUGUAAGCUAGGACGCGGAACGUGGGAUGCGAGAUGCGAGCGGUACAUCAUGUAUAUUUCCUGGUAUGCGUGAAGAUUAAGGGCAGAUAGAGUAUUGAGAUAAUGGAGUGCAAAAUAAUUUCGAACAUCCGUUUGCGACAAAUUAUAACAUCGGCAUGGCACAACAACAACGAGCAAUACAAGAUCUGGAGCCAUUGUUGAGGUUCUUAGCAGGUUCUUCCUUAAGCGUCAACAUGGAAGAAAUGGCGAUUCCUUCAGCAAGCAAAUAUUUACAGCAUGAAGGCUCGAGCGUAAACUACGUUUAAAUCCGCACAUCGAUAUCCCAAUCUGCGCAGCGCGCGAGCGCGCGCUUGGGAAAUGAUAUUUCGCCGCGCAGUUGCUGGAAAACUUAAUCGACGACGACAUGAUCGGAUUUUCUCGCGCGCGAAAGGAGAGAAGGCGAUUUCAAAAAAAAAAAGGAAAAAAGAAGAAGAGAAUAAAACCAAACAGCGGAAA